GGGAAUCUUCCACAAUGGACGCAAGUCUGAUGGAGCAACGCCGCGUGAGUGAAGAAGGGUUUCGGCUCGUAAAGCUCUGUUGUUGGUGAAGAAGGACAGGGGUAGUAACUGACCUUUGUUUGACGGUAAUCAAUUAGAAAGUCACGGCUAACUACGUGCCAGCAGCCGCGGUAAUACGUAGGUGGCAAGCGUUGUCCGGAUUUAUUGGGCGUAAAGCGAGUGCAGGCGGCUCGAUAAGUCUGAUGUGAAAGCCUUCGGCUCAACCGGAGAAUUGCAUCAGAAACUGUCGAGCUUGAGUACAGAAGAGGAGAGUGGAACUCCAUGUGUAGCGGUGAAAUGCGUAGAUAUAUGGAAGAACACCGGUGGCGAAGGCGGCUCUCUGGUCUGUUACUGACGCUGAGGCUCGAAAGCAUGGGUAG
rnacentral:rRNA from 1 species